UGUCCUCAGUCCUCAACGUUUGAAAUGGAGAACCUCAGCUAAGAAGAAGAACUCGGAAGUGAGCAACUUAGAAGCACCACCUUCCAACGCUUAAAGUCAUUCUCCUUGCACCUUCUCGACCUUUUGCAGAGCCUUCACAUUGAGAAUCAGAAGCAUUGUUUUGUCACUGUACUCCCUCAACCUCAACUCCUUCGUUUCCUUCGCAAUUCUUCUCCCUCUACUUUUCAACCUUUCUUCGACUACACUCUGUUUCGUUGCUUCUGCUCCUCGAUGGAGCUAUUCAGUGCAGAAAGAACAACAUAGAAACUUGAAUCUAAGGAAAAGUGUACUAUGCUUGAUGUUCCAAAAUCACCUAUUCAAGUGAGUGAUGGCAUUGCUGAAAGUGUGGUUAAUUGUUUGGAGGAGCUUCCGAGGAAGUGUCAUUUGAGUUCUGUUGAUCAGAUGGUUGUGCUGCUAAAAAAGUUAACAUACAGAGUCAUGUUAUCACCCACCGAGGCUUCAGAGGAGUUUCGUGAAGGGAUUUUAUUUUGUGUCAAGGCACUACUUUUGAGUUUAUAUCCCUGUUUUAAAGUGUCUUGCUUGUGUAAAAAAGUAUGUGGUUUACCAGAACUUUCGGAUGGCAUUUAUAAUGAUAGGCUUCAUAAAACUUUCAAGUAUGGAUUGUAAUCAGAAGAAUGUUUACUUGCAUUUCUCCAGUCUCAAUUUGCGUCAGCUGCUGUUGGACACUAGCUAUCACUUCUUCUCAAAAUAUAGAGGCAGCUAGGGGACCAAGGUUCCACAAGAAUUCAAAUUGAAGCAUUCAAAACUGAGGGUGCUUGUUGCUAAGAUGAAGCGGGGGUAAAGUCUUAAGCUUCUGAAUAAACCUCACAAUGAUGUUGUGGAUAUAGAACCAUGUUUGACCAAAUUCAAGCUAAUCAGUUUUUAUGGCUCCAUAUCAAGACUUGCAACCCUCAAUACCCAUGAAAGCUUAUAGAGAUGUACAACUAUGGACUUUAUGUACCACCAUCCUUUACUUUGCAAUUGUUGAAUGACAUCAAAUAGAUAGAGUCAAAUUGAAGUUUAGGCUCUUCCAAAAAGUUUUUUCUCUACCCAACAAUUUGGACGAUCUCCAUGCAAUUGACAUGAGAGGAAGAUAUGAUGAAAAUUGGAUCAUAAGACAUACAUAAUGAAUAGAUGUGUGGAACAAUAGACGUGAGCUGACAUUAACGAGACAUCCAAUGUAAGGCCCAUUGUGUCACACAUGAGAAUACAUGGAAUGGUACAUUUCCAAUUCCAUCCAUUUCCUAUAUGUGCCACCACUACUACAAGAUCCAAGGAGGAGGAGUCAACAACUACGGACUACCACAUCAUUUGAUACCGGUACAUUUUCCACAUGAUCAUAUCACGAGACUACACCAUUUACUUCACCAAACAUCAUGCCUGAAGCAAAUAUAAUUGAUAAGAUGCAUUCGUUUGCAACUACUUCGGAGGACUUUUUUACAAACUUAUUUGGAGCUGAUUUUGCAACUCGAUCUUCAUCACAAAGUUACAUGCAGUCUCUUUAUCAACCGGAUUUUGCAAAUGAAUCUGGUAUUCCUCAAAUGCUUUCCAACAAAUGGCCAUUCAAAAUGACCCAACUCCUCCACAACUUGAUCCUGAAUUCCAAGAACAAGAACCACAACGAAAAAAUCUACCACGUAACAGACAUCACCCUCGUUGUGAAAUUGGCCACCAUUACAGAGAUAGUUAAUAAUUGUAUGUAAAACAUUGUGAAGCUUCC